UACGUAGGGUGCGAGCGUUAAUCGGAAUUACUGGGCGUAAAGCGUGCGCAGGCGGUUCUAUAAGACAGAUGUGAAAUCCCCGGGCUCAACCUGGGAUGGCAUUUGUGACUGUAGGGCUAGAGUACGGUAGAGGGGAUGGAAUUCCGCGUGUAGCAGUGAAAUGCGUAGAUAUGCGGAGGACACCGAUGGCGAAGGCAAUCCCCUGGACCUGUACUGACGCUCAUGCACGAAAGCGUGGGGAGCAAACAGG
rnacentral:rRNA from 1 species